rnacentral:rRNA from 1 species
AGUGAACGCUGGCGGUAGGCCUAACACAUGCAAGUCGAACGGCAGCACAGUAAUAGCUUGCUCUUACGGGUGCCGUGUGGCGGACGGUUGAGGAAUACAUCGGAAUCUACUUUUUCUUGGGUGAGAACGUAGGGAAACUUACGCUAAUACCGCAUACGACCUACGGGUGAAAGCAUGGGAUCUUCGGACCUUGCGCGAUUGAAUGAGCCGAUGUCGGAUUAGCGAGUUGGCGGGGUAAAGGCCCACCAAGGCGACGAUCCGUAGCUGGUCUGAGAGGAUGAUCAGCCACACUGGAACUGAGACACGGUCCAGACUCCUACGGGAGGCAGCAGUGGGGAAUAUUGGACAAUGGGCGAAAGCCUGAUCCAGCCAUACCGCGUGGGUGAAGAAGGCCUUCGGGUUGUAAAGCCCUUUUGUUGGGAAAGAAAAGCAGCAGGUUAAUACCCCGCUGUUCUGACGGUACCAAAAGAAUAAGCACCGGCUAACUUCGUG